UACGUAGGGGGCCAGCGUUGCUCGGAAUUACUGGGCGUAAAGGGUUCGUAGGUGGUGCGGCAAGUUGGAAGUGAAAUCUCUGGGCUUAACCCAGAGGCUGCUUUCAAAACUGCCGUGCUCGAGUGCGGGAGAGGUCAGUGGAAUUGCGGGUGUAGAGGUGAAAUGCGUAGAUAUCUGCAGGAACACCCGUGGCGAAGGCGGCUGACUGGAUCGCUACUGACACUGAGGAACGAAAGCGAGGGGAGCAAACAGG
rnacentral:rRNA from 1 species